rnacentral:rRNA from 1 species
ACUUAUUAAAAGAGUUGGAAAAUACGAACAAUAGUUUAAACACCAAAGAAUUUGGCGGUAUCUUAUUUAAUUAGGGGAACCUGUCCCAUAAUCGAUAAUCCACGAAAGUCUUACCUAAUUUUGAAACUCAGUUAGUGUACUGCCGUCUCAAGUAUACCUUUAUGAGAGUAUACAAUAAAUUAUAAAUAAAUAGGACGUCAGGUCAAAGUGCUGCUUAUAAUUAGGGCGGAGAUGGGUUACAAACUUAAUAGAGAUAUGGAAAAAUAUAUUAAAUAUAUAUUUAAAAAGUGGACUUAAUAGUAAUUAAAUAAUAGUUUAAUGAAUAUAAUACUAAGAUAUGC